CGCGUAUUUCGCGUUUCUUACGGCGCGGGUUCGUCGAUCGUCGCGUCAUAAUGUACAGGAUAAUCGCGUAGCCCGGCGCGUGGAUUUCUAUAAACACGGAAAUUAAAACAUAAUAAACUGUAUCCCCCCAUCGGAUACGGAGGUUGAAAGUGAUGCCUUGUGGCAAACGCAAUAUAAUAUGCUGACUCUCCCUUCGCUGGUACUGCGGUUGAUGAUUCAUCGCGCUCGCGACUCGCGACACUGGGGAACCUAACCCCCCCUGUUAAUUCUGACGAGGCUGAGUUCGCCGUUCAGGUAGUUGCUUCGCUCGGCGGAUCGCGUCGGGUGGUGACUCGUCGGGUGUCUGCCGGUCCCUCGCACCUGUCGACGGGUUAUCAAGCUGAUAGGAUGAAUCGUAUACGUUUAUGAAUAAUAAUUAUAAAAAAAAUUAAACUUUAUUUAAUUCGUAACAUUUUUUUAACGCGUGUUUCCCUCGCGUUGGAUAUAAAUCUAUGCGCCUUUUAUAAGUCAACUUUACCACUUUCAAUCAAAUUUUUUAAAAUGACGGAAAGUCGACUUUUAGUCGACUUCUAAAAGUCUCAGUAAUAAUUUUGUAUUUAAGUUUAUAAUUUAUAAUAAAAUAAAAUCUCCUGCGCCUCGUGGGCAUUUUACUGAAUGUAACGCUUUGCAAUUUUGACUUUUUGAAUUUAGACCAAUGCACGGAAUUUGCACUUUUAAACUAUAUAGCAACAGUCGUCGCUGAAGCACGUAAGCACGUGUAGCACGCGCAGCAAUAAUUUCGUCUCACACUGUUUUCCAUUCAUCAUUAAACACGUUUGAUAAUAUAAAAUGAGUGACACAUUUUGUGUGGUCGUUACUCAUGAGUGGGUUGCAGCAGUACCCUCUACGUGGGUAUUUCCAAAUGUAAUGAUGGUGUGGUGGCCUACACCAUCAUUAAAUGGAGAAACAAUAACUACAGCUAUUUCUAAAAAGCGGGAACCUGAAGACACGUGGAAUAAAAUUAAUUAUCAAUAUUUGAUAGGUCCUUUUGAAACGUACAUCGAAGCUCGGAAAAUGGAAAAAAGAGCUACUUCGAUCAGCACGGAUGAUGAUACUGAUGCAAUACUUAAAAAAUUUCCAUUAGAUGAAAACAAAAGAAAGAGAAAAGCCAACAAACGAGACGAUUUUAUGUAUACUUCAGGUGCUGCUGCUGCUGCUGUCCCUCCAGGUCAUCGCCAGGAUCCGGAUCGUCGCACGAGAACGCCGUCGGGUAAGUGAAUUUGAGGUUAUGUGAUACCCGCGGUCCCGCUGGUUCGCGAGAUGCUUUGUUACAGGCCCAGGAUGAUACCGUCGGGAAGAGGCUCACACGAGGUGAGUGAACAACACUUUAGGUUUUUCAUAAACAAUAACAAAUAUCCUUUAUUUCAGGUUACUUUUAACACAAAAUCACUCCCUCUUAGCGUCACGCCACAUGUAUGAGUCUUCGUGUGUCUCCGCGAUUGUUUAAACGCACGAGUUUUGUACACACGCCCGUUCGCGACGCUUGAGUCACAAACGGGUAAACGAUGUGAUGUGUUCGUAAUUUUAUUGCGUGAGGCUUCACUGCUUCUUCGUCGCACGCACUUAAUUAACGCGCGGACGAUCGCUUUUUACGUGCGAGGCACGGAACGAUCGCACGGGACGACUGUCUUCUCUACUCGCAUUCGAGAAUAGUCGCUGUGAACGCGCCACAAUGUAACGUGGAUGUUGUACGUUCAAUCUCUCGCGCGCGAAAGCUCACGAGAGCUCCCGCCGCUCGCUUAAGUACCAGUGCGGGGAUUCUCUCCACUCGCAUCGCUCCGCCAAUCACGCGUGGCGUCGGUUUUCAGGCGCGCGGCAUACGCGUCUUCCCCCUCUCCUCCGACUUGGACGAAUCGGCGCUGUGCGACGCUGCUGUGGUGCGGUACGUCUCCCCCACUCUCGAGCCUUCAGCCAAUCAUGGAGGUGCACUCUGGGGUGGAGAUGGAGCUACCCCUCUGGACUAAGGUAUUAUAAAAAAUAUCGAUUAUGCUGCCCAAUCGAACCAUGAUGUUUUAAACGAAGUAUCCAGUGUGUCAAAAAGUUUGCAGCCAUCUGAUAGCAGACAAACUGCUAGAGAACAAAGUAAGCCAUUCAUUUUCUAAAUAUUUUAUGUGAAUGACAAAUUGCAAUUAUGUUAGAGUUUGAAUCGCGUGAAAUUAUAUCAAUAUUUAUAUAUUAUCUCGUAGUCUUAACUUUCCAUUGCAAAAUUUAAGUUUGCAUAUUAAUUUGUAGAUUAUCGAGGAAAACAAUAGCAAUAAAAAAAAUCCAAGUAUGUUGCAUUCUGGAGCAAGCCUUGAAUUUCCAUUUCCAAAUGUAGAGGUAAUUGUUACAUUUUCUAAAUUUUUCUUUUGUUUAUUAAUUUAAUGCUCCAUUUAUUAUAUUUAAUAUAUAUCUAUUUAUUUUAGGACCCUAAGCUGCAAGAAUAUUACACAGAUGAAAAAAUUGAUAGCUUGUUGGUCGAAAAUCUCUACCUAAAGAGUAAGCUGGAACGGAUGCAUUCUAUUUUAAAAAUGUUCUCUCAUUAUCCAAAAAUUGCUAAAUAUUUACAAGAAGACAAUGUCAAAUAAUUAAUGUAUUAUUAAGAUUAUACUGUAAAAA
rnacentral:misc_RNA from 1 species